AUUGAACGCUGGCGGCAGGCCUAACACAUGCAAGUCGAGCGGAGCGGCGGACGGGUGAGUAAUGCCUAGGAAUCUGCCUGGUAGUGGGGGAUAACGUCCGGAAACGGGCGCUAAUACCGCAUACUAUUAGAUGAGCCUAGGUUGGAUUAGCUAGUUGGUGGGGUAAAGGACUACCAAGGCGACGAUCCGUAACUGGUCUGAGAGGAUGAUCAGUCACACUGGAACUGAGACACGGUCCAGACUCCGACGGGGGGCAGCAGGGGGGAAUUUUGGACAAUGGGGGAAACCCUAAUCCAGCCAGCCCGCGUGUAUGAUGAAGGCCUUCGGGUUGUAAAGUACUUUUAGCAGGGACGCGGUAUCUGCAGAAUAAGCACCGGCUAACUACGUGCCAGCAGCCGCGGUAAUUC
rnacentral:rRNA from 1 species